rnacentral:lncRNA from 1 species
AUAUUUUAGUAUUUUGAGUGCUGGGGAUGGAACCAGACCUCAUGCAUGCUAAGCAAGCACUCUGCCACUGAGCUACAUUCCCAGCCUUUUUAAAAAACAGUUUUAUUUUGAGACAGGGUCUCACUAGUUGCCCAGGCCGGGCUCAAACUCACGAUCCUCCUGCUCCAGCUUCCUGAGAAGCUAGGAUUACAGAUGUGCGUCACCGUGCCUGACUUAAAACUCUUCUGUGGUUUCCUGGUAACGCCUCACUGUGGCCUGUGCAGUCCCAUGAAAUGGAUCUUCGUCACCUCCCUGUGUUUGCCUUCUCUCAUUGGCUCACCUGUACCAGUGACGUGGCCUCCUGCUGUCCCCAACACAGGAGGGUUUUUCUCAGGAGAAAGCAGUGAGCACGAAGACCCGUCAGUCCUAGUAGGAUGCCCUUCAGAAUCUAUCCCUGCAAAUUCUGCAUGUGGAUCAUAGGAAGUUAAGCCCACAGUCAUUCCCAGCAUAUGACCCAGAAGCAGCAUCCUCAGCAAGAUCUUGAGGAUGGUUGCCUUAUAACAAGGACAUAGAGAUGAGGCUGCAGGUGCCCAUGGAAAACUACAAGUGAUAUGAAGCUCAGCAUCUCGACCUGCAUGUUAUAACCAUCUCUUUUAUUACUUUAAAACUUUGGGUCAGAUCUGUGCUUAGCUCUGCACAUAGAC